AUGUGUGUAAACGGACAAAUGUUCAAAUGGAAGGUCUGCCCCCAAGGGUACUGCAACUCACCAGCGGCAGCCACCAACAGCACCCCUGAGGCCUACGCUACACCUGGUGACGUCCAAAUCUGGAGUUACGUAGACGACAUCGCCACUAUGGGCAGAACUCCAGAAGCAGUAACCCAAACUACGGAAAAGCUGGUACACCACUUACAAACCCACGGAUGGACUGUAAACAUGCACAAAUCUCAACUCGCUGCAAAGCCGCACAUUUCCUUCCUUGGUGAAGUGUUCGAUCAUGAAACACGCAAGGUGACGACGCACACAACUCCAACCAUACCCCGGGUCAAGGGUGCCAUCCCAACGAAAAAGGAAAUCCAACAACUUCUAGGCCAGCUAAACUGGCACAAAGCUCAUAUUCCAACAAGUCGUCUAGAAGUCAUUGCAUGCUUACAUCAGCAACUACGUACUAGAGCCAGCACCCGAAAUAUAUGGGACCCCAUCCAUGACUACGAUAAGUUACAAGAACUUUUAAAAGCUGCUUCGACUACAGUCCUCCACAGUAUUAGCCCCAACGAGCCCAUAACCGUUACCCUUGGGCAUAUGAGUCAAAUACCCUGGGCAACUGGCACUACUAGCACCAACAAAUUAGUAUUUUUGACCUACAAGGCUCUACGACCGUCUCAACUUCGAUAUGGAGUUAUAGGAACCCUUUUACUAGCAUCCCAACUCGCCACAACCGCCUGUCCCAGUAUUUCUGCAACCACUGGAACUGUUGUCGCAUCAGGCGUCACACUACUCCCACUUCUCACUCCCGACCGACCAGACCCGACCUUUCACAGCCUAUGUACCACCUGGCAAGAAUCAGUCCAAGUCUUCCACUUUCACUUCCAUCACUGGAAGACAAAAGAGGCCCCAGUAAGUACAACGCCUUCCCUUCAUCAUCAAAACCCUUUAUUAAUGUACGGCACUAUCCUGCCCGCCUGGGUAGCAUCAGACAGGAGCACAGCCCAUGGCGGAGCGCACGGGUUUUUCUGUAACCCGUGCCAACGCACUGAAGUAGAGCCCGCAGCUCCACCUCCAAACGCACAACUUGAAGAACUCCUCACAUUUAAAGGAGCCCUCCAACACUACUUAGACGCCCAUAAUGUCCACGAACCCGUCCCUGUAAUAGCUAUUGACUCUCAAUAUAUCUACAAAAUAUUACCUGGCCAGGCACAAGCCACAGAAAACCAACCCGUCUGGAAUACGAUCUUCGCUAUAUUACCCCACUUUAAAACCAUACCUCUAUUACGGCACACCCGCUCUCAUCGGCCAGCUACCGACCCGGUCCACGCCCACAUCGAUGCCGUACUGCAGGACCCAGAAAAGCGCGCAGCAGCCGUCAAGGAAACAGCACACCAACCACAACAAGUUGCAGCAGCCAUCCUCGCUAAAACAAGCGUCAAUAACCAGCACUUUGUGCAAUGGCUACAUGAGUUCUGGAGCCACCCCAGCCCCAACAAGGCCCAUCUCAAACGGAAGCGAAUGACCGCUGAGACACCGCCAUUUACCAUUACGCUUCAGGACUGGAAAACACAGAGCCGAACCUGCUACAUGUGUAACAAGGUCAAGGCCACACCAGCCGCAGCAGCCAAACAGGCGUUUGACCCCAGGAAAGACACGGCAAGUCGACCUCAUGGGACCACUCCCUGGAGUCAAACGUCAGGCCAAGGCCUUAGUCCCAGUCGAUCUAGGCACCAGACGGCUACGAUGCAUCCCCCUUACAAAGACUACCGCCAAAACUGUCUGUUCUGCACUACUCCAGGCCACGAGCCUCUGGCAAGUGCCAAACGAAAUUCAAUCCGACGGAGGACCACCCUUUACGUCAAAAGCCUUAGUAACCUUCUGCAGUACCUACAUCAUCAUCUGGCACACCCACAUCCCCAUCACCCACAGUCAAAUGGCGCUGUUGAGCAUUUCAUAGGAAUCCUCAAAGAAAAUCUCCGCCGAACAGGCGACGGCACAUAUUCAAACUGGACCAGCCGUCUCCCGCAAAUUCUAAUUCAACUUAACGAAGAAAAACCAUUGUGGACCGACAGGAAACAAGAAACGCCAGAACCAUGGAAACCCCGAUUCCAGCCGGGGGAGCUUACCUGGGUAGCCACACCAGGACCCACGGAGAAGAAACAACUACUGUACCAAGAACAGUACAAUCCGCAGGAACGUACCCAAACACCUACCAAGUCCAAACCGAGCAACUUACAAAAUCAUUCCUAG
ensembl:lncRNA